rnacentral:lncRNA from 1 species
GAUCUUCAGCUCAUCAACAUUCAGUGGUGAGUCCUCAUUCUCUGAGGACGACAUAUAUGUUUUAUUUGCUUUUAGUCUUAGUUUCAGUUUUGCUAGAUUUAGCUGGGGCAUGUCCCAACACUUCUAGUAAAUUAGAGGCUUAUUUCAGACAUAGUUAGAUUCAACUUUAGUAUUUGAGUUUGACCUUUCAGUUGUUGUUAAACUCUCAGUUUUUAUAUAUUCGGAU